GCUGGCUUAAUCUAGACUGUGGGGAUCAUGACUAGUUUUAUUUAUUCAGGAAGACAGGGAGCCUUGCGUUGGGGAGGAUGCACAGUCCCACGGGCCUUGAGAGCUUUGCAUCAGUCAGAGACGCAACAAUCCUGUGGCAUCCUUCAUGCAAUAAUUUAUGACCAUGAAUAUUAUUUAUUUCUGAAUUGGAGCUAUAAAUUCACCAGGGAUUUCUGGCAAAGAGGAAAAGCUACUUUCCGAAGUCAAACGCCAGUCUCCAUUUUACAAAAAGAACGGACUGACCACUCAAGUGAUGAAGAUGUCGGGGAAGAUUGUGCAAGCUUAAGGAGGCAGAUCCUUGCUGGAGAAAGUGGAUCACUGGAGAAAAGUCCCAUGUCCUCUGUAUGUGUGCCACUCCACCUGGUCACUCUGCAGACAUUACUCUAGCAUUGUAGUACCUCCAGAUGAGGAAGCACACAGUACAUCAUUCUUGGGACACAAAAGCCUGAAGUAUAGACAUAAAAGCUUUGUUUGUUUGAGAAUUUGCUUAAAAUAAAUAGUGCUUGUUAGCAAACAGCCA